rnacentral:rRNA from 1 species
UAGGGAAUUUUCGGCAAUGGGCGCAAGCCUGACCGAGCAACGCCGCGUGAGUGAAGAAGGCCUUCGGGUUGUAAAGCUCUGUUGUAAGGGAAGAAUGGCCAAGAGAGGGAAUGCUCUUGGAGUGACGGUACCUUACCAGAAAGCCACGGCUAACUACGUGCCAGCAGCCGCGGUAAUACGUAGGUGGCAAGCGUUAUCCGGAAUUAUUGGGCGUAAAGGGAGCGUAGGCGGCUUGAUAAGUCUGAGGUGAAAGUUCGGGGCUCAACUCCGGAUUGCCUUAGAAACUGUCAGGCUAGAGUGCAGGAGAGGGCAAUGGAAUUCCAUGUGUAGCGGUAAAAUGCGUAGAUAUAUGGAGGAACACCAGUGGCGAAGGCGGUUGCCUGGCCUGUAACUGACGCUG